rnacentral:rRNA from 1 species
CCCCUAGACGUUCUGGGCUGCACGCGCGCUACAAUAAUACGCACAGCGAGUAUCCCCGAGCUCGAAAGGGCAAGGUAAACAAUAGAAAAGGUACUGUAAUGGUUAUAGAUCCUUGUAAUUAUUGAUCUUCAACGAGGAAUUCCUAGUAAGUAUGUGUCAUCAUCACGCACUGAUUACGUCCCUGCCCUUUGUACACACCGCCCGUCGCUCCUACCGAUUGGGUGAGCCGAUGAAACUCUCGGAUGUAGGCUAUUCAUAGCCCGCAGAAGAGAUUUGAAUCGUAGCGCUUAGAGGAAGGAGAAGUCGUAACA